GAUGAAGAACGUAGUGAAAUGCGAUACUUGGUGUGAAUUGCAGUAUCCCGUGAACCAUCGAGUUUUUGAACGCAAGUUGCGCCCGAAGCCGUUAGGCCGAGGGCACGCCUGCCUGGGUGUCACACAUCGUUGCCCCAAUGCCAAUCGCCUCACUUUGUAGGUAUUUGCUUGGGGUGAAUGUUGGCCUCCCGUGAGCUUUGUCUCACGGUUGGUUGAAAAUCGAGUGCAUGGUGUUGGGUGUACCAUGAUGGAUGGUGGUUGAGUGAUGAUGCUCGAGACCAAUCAUGGGUAACUCCACCAGAAUUGGGCUCGGUGACCCACAUGCGUCCCUUGGAUGCUCCCUAAGGAGACCUCAGGUCAGGCGGGGCUACCCGCUGAGUUUAAGCAUAUCAAUAAGCGGAGGA
rnacentral:misc_RNA from 1 species